rnacentral:lncRNA from 1 species
UAAGAUGAAGCUAAUUAAGGAACCUGGGCAAAGUAUGUGUGUCUGCAGUGCAGUCAAUAUCACUGCAGUCUGAGCAGAAAGGAGCAGAUCCACUGGGAAGCCCAAAGACAGCAGCAAACAGGACAGUUCAGGGAACUUCUGCAUGGCCCCACUUGCUGCUGAGAGCUGGAUGGAGUGGGGAUGGACAACUCUGGUCAAAGAUUUGGAACUGGGCAACACUGGAUCACCAAGAUGAGGUGACAGAGAUGAAGUCUCAGGAUCUUCCUUUUCAGUUCCCCCCAUUUUCUCUCCCAAGAACCCCCUUUUUAACAUGUGUUUUCAUUGUUGCCAAAAC